rnacentral:lncRNA from 1 species
CUGUCUGUGCCAUCUUCAGGUGCACACUCAGGCUUCUCCAUCCUCAGUGCACACUCAGGUCUCCUCCAUCCUCAGGCACACACUCUGGUCUCCUCCAUCCUCAGUGCACACUCUGGUCUCCUCCAUUCUCAGGUGCACACUCAGGUCUCCUCCAUCCUCAGUGCACACUCAGGUCUCCUCCAUCCUCAGGUGCACACUCAGGUCUCCUCCAUCCUCAGUGCACACUCAGGCUUCUCCAUCCUCAGGCACACACUCAGGUCUCCUGCAUCCUCAGUGCACACUCAGGUCUUCUCCAUCCUCGGUGCAUGCUCAGGUGUCCUCCAUCCUCAGGUGCACACUCAGGUCUCCUCUAUCCUCAGGCACACACUCAGGUCUCCUGCAUCCUCAGUGCACACUCAGGUCUUCUCCAUCCUCGGUGCAUGCUCAGGUCUCCUCCAUCCUCAGGUGCACACUCAGGUCUCCUCCAUCCUCAGUGCACACUCAGAUCUCCUCCAUCCUCAGGUGCACACUCAGGUCUUCUCCAUCUUCAAGUGUACACACUCAGAUAUUUGUGUCUGUGUUUCCCUGAUGAUCAGUGGUGGUGAACAUCUCUGCAUGCGCUUAUCAGCCACGGGUGAUACCUUAUAUUUUGACGAGGGGUUGAUGGUAGUUAGCCUCAUAGAUGGGCGUUUGAACUUUGUGGUCAAGCAACUCCGCUGCUGUGUUUCUGCCCUGAGUGGCUUGUUACUGUCUCCUCGUUACAUAUUGACCAGCUGUCAGUCUGGUGCCUGGAGCUUUGCACCUGUGAGCUCAUCCGAUUCUCA